CAUUCUCGGAUUUUGACCCCUCUCCAUCUCCCCCUCUCUCGCUAGUCUUCAGCUGCGCCUCCGAUGUCUCUCCAGUCUUGCCUAAGUCGCCGUCUCGUCUCCUUUCUCCCUCGAUCUCGCAGGUCGCGCCCUUGCCUUGCUUGAUCGGCCUUCAAUCAGCCCACUAGGUAGAUCCUGUCUCAAGUCUCGUUUGCGACGUGUGAUGGCUCCAGCCACUAACACCUCAGGAAUGGAGUUUGAGGUAUUCCUGAGUUUCAGGGGAUCAGAUACUCGAGAUAACUUUACUAGUUGCCUCUAUUAUGACAUGGUGGAGAAAGGAAUCCGUGUCUUCAAAGACGAUAAAGAGCUCUCAGUCGGUCAAAAGAUUGAGGGAGGGCUUUUGCGAGCCCUUAACGACUCUCAAAUCUAUAUCCCUAUCUUCUCCAAGGGCUUCGCUUCCAGUCCAUGGUGUCUUCGUGAGGUUGCGCAUAUGGUAGAUUGCACUUCAAAAUCAGAUGGGAAAAAGGAGAUCCUCCCUAUCUUCAUUGACGUGGAUAUAGAUGAUGUAAAACUUAAAACCAAAUUGUACAGAGCUGCCCUCUCCGAGCAUGAGAAGAAGUACGACUCACAUGAAGUAAAAACGCUGGGGAGAUGCUCUCGUUGAGGUUCCGACAAGAGUAGGUUGGAAGCUUGAAGGAAAAGGGUAAAUUUUUCACAACUUGUUUUUUAGCUAUAUUUUUAAUAUAACAUGUGAAGUAUUUAUUUUUGUAAGGUAUAACUUAAUUAGUCAAGUUAUACAUUUAAGGAUAUUGAUCGACUUUUAUAUCAUAUUCAAUCUA